rnacentral:lncRNA from 1 species
CACAAGCCCCUCGCUGGGCUCACAGCGAUAUUGAGCAUCCACAUCAAUCCAGAACCACACCAUCCAUAAUCCUCAAACCAAAUCAUAAAACAUUUCAUAUAUCAUGAAAAGAUUUCGCAACUCAACUUAUCUGCCAGAAAUACUUUUCAUAAAACGGUCUCAAAUAAUUUCAAGACCCGUCUCAUAAAUCAAUUUCAAAUCAAAUACAUUUCAAAAAGCUUAU